rnacentral:rRNA from 1 species
GAUGAGCGCUGGCGGCGUGCUUAACACAUGCAAGUCGAGCGAAGCACUUUACUUUGAAUUCUUCGGAAUGAAGAGUGAUUUGACUGAGCGGCGGACGGGUGAGUAACGCGUGGGCAACCUGCCUCAUACAGGGGGAUAACAGUUAGAAAUGACUGCUAAUACCGCAUAAGACCACAGUACCGCAUGGUAUGGUGGUAAAAACUCCGGUGGUAUGAGAUGGGGCCCCGCGUCUGAUUAGGUAGUUGGUGGGGUAACGGCCUACCAAGCCGACGAUCAGUAGCCGACCUGAGAGGGUGACCGGCCACAUUGGGACUGAGACACGGGCCCAAACUCCUACGGGAGCAGCAGUGGGGAAUAUUGCACAAGUGGGGGAAACCCUGAUGCAGCGACGCCGCGUGAAGGAUGAAGUAUUUCGGGUAU